rnacentral:lncRNA from 10 species
CCCUAGCCUCCUGCUUUGCACUGCUUCAGAAGUUGGCAAACAUCUUGAGGGAAGCCUGGCUCUGUUGACACUCCUGGUCUCCAGUUUUGACAUCCUAGCCCCAGCAGAUGAUGCACCUAAAGUUGAAAAGCUGACUUCCACCUCCUGGGCAACGUGGCUCAGGUUUGUGCGCAGGUCAAGACAAAACUGAUGUCAACACCAGGAAUGAAGGAGAAAUCUGUGGCUUAAUGAAG